rnacentral:rRNA from 1 species
UGGGGAAUAUUGGGCAAUGGGGGGAACCCUGACCCAGCAACGCCGCGUGAAGGAAGAAGGUUUUCGGAUUGUAAACUUCUGUCCUUGGUGAAGAGGAAGAGACGGUAGCCAAGGAGGAAGCCCCGGCUAACUACGUGCCAGCAGCCGCGGUAAUACGUAGGGGGCGGGCGGUGUCCGGAAUGAUUGGGCGUAAAGGGCGCGUAGGCGGGAAAGCAAGUCAGAUGUGAAAUACCGGGGCUUAACUCCGGGGCUGCAUCUGAAACUGUUUUUCUUGAGUGUCGGAGAGGAAAGCGGAAUUCCUAGUGUAGCGGUGAAAUGCGUAGAUAUUAGGAGGAACACCAGUGGCGAAGGCGGCUUUCUGGACGACAACUGACGCUGAGGCGCGAAAGCGUGGGGAGCAAACAGG